rnacentral:rRNA from 1 species
GAUGAACGCUAGCUACAGGCUUAACACAUGCAAGUCGAGGGGUAGCAGGGUAGCAAUACCGCUGACGACCGGCGCACGGGUGAGUAACACGUAUCAAACCUUCCCAUAACUCGGGGAUAGCCUUUCGAAAGAAAGAUUAAUACCCGAUAGUACUUUUUCAAGGCAUCUUGAAACAGUUAAAGAUUUAUUGGUUAUGGAUGGGGAUGCGUUCCAUUAGAUAGUUGGUGAGGUAAGGGCUCACCAAGUCUUCGAUGGAUAGGGGUUCUGAGAGGAAGGUCCCCCACAUUGGUACUGAGACACGGACCAAACUCCUACGGGAGGCAGCAGUGAGGAAUAUUGGUCAAUGGGCGAGAGCCUGAACCAGCCAAGUAGCGUGAAGGAUGAAGGUCCUAUGGAUUGUAAACUUCUUUUAUAGUAGAAUAAAGUGAGCCACGUGUGGUUUUUUGUAUGUAUACUAUGAAUAAGGAUCGGCUAACUCCGUGCCAGCCGCCGCCGUAA